CCUACGGGAGGCAGCAGUGGGGAAUAUUGGACAAUGGGGGCAACCCUGAUCCAGCCAUGCCGCGUGUGUGAAGAAGGCCCUCGGGUUGUAAAGCACUUUCAGUGAGGAAGAACGCCUGGUGGUUAAUACCCAUCAGGAAAGACAUCACUCACAGAAGAAGCACCGGCUAACUCCGUGCCAGCAGCCGCGGUAAUACGGAGGGUGCGAGCGUUAAUCGGAAUUACUGGGCGUAAAGCGCGCGUAGGUGGCUUGAUAAGCCGGUUGUGAGAGCCCCGGGCUCAACCUGGGAACGGCAUCCGGAACUGUCAAGCUAGAGUGCAGGAGAGGAAGGUAGAAUUCCCGGUGUAGCGGUGAAAUGCGUAGAGAUCGGGAGGAAUACCAGUGGCGAAGGCGGCCUUCUGGACUGACACUGACACUGAGGUGCGAAAGCGUGGGUAGCAAACAGGAUUAGAUACCCUAGUAGUC
rnacentral:rRNA from 1 species